rnacentral:sRNA from 1 species
CAACAACGGAAAGGAGGUGGUCUGAUGUCUCAUUGUCACAUGCCGGUUGCGGCAGAUGAAAAGAGCAUGACCUCCGCCGCGGGGGUCCGGCUCGUCUGAGUCCGUCCAAUCGGCUGACAAUGGAAAGGCCGUCCGGCAUUGCCGGGCGGCCUU